UGAAGCCAUCAUAAACCAGGUCUGUAUCUAAAAUGACUGCAGCCAUUAUAUAUAUAUCUCACGACUGUUGACCAGAGCCCAUAGACCAGGGUUCCCCAAUAGGGCAUGACUGAGUAUACAAAACAUUAGGAACACCUGCUCUUUCCAUGACAGAGACUGACCAGGUGAAUUCAGGUGAAAGCUACGAUCCCUUAUUGAUGGCACCUGUUAAAUCCACUUCAGUCAGUGUAGAUGAAGGGGAUGAGACGCAGGUUAAAUCCACCAAUCAGUGUAGAUGAAGGGGAUGAGACGCAGGUUAAAUCCACCAAUCAGUGUAGAUGAAGGGGAUGAGACGCAGGUUAAAUCCACCAGUCAGUGUAGAUGAAGGGGAGGAGACAGGUUAAAUCCACUUCAGUCAGUGUAGAUGAAGGGGAGGAGACAUGUAGAUGAAGGGGAGGAGACAUGUAGAUGAAGGGGAGGAGACAUGUAGAUGAAGGGGAGGAGACAGGUUAAAUCCACCAAUCAGUGUAGAUGAAGGGGAAGAGACAGGUUAAAUCCACCAAUCAGUGUAGAUGAAGGGGAGGAGACAUGUAGAUGAAGGGGAGGAGACAUGUAGAUGAAGGGGAAGAGACAGGUUAAAUCCACCAAUCAGUGUAGAUGAAGGGGAAGAGACAGGUUAAAUCCACCAAUCAGUGUAGAUGAAGGGGAGGAGACAGGUUAAAUCCACCAAUCAGUGUAGAUGAAGGGGAGGAGACAGGUUAAAUCCACCAAUCAGUGUAGAUGAAGGGGAGGAGACAGGUUAAAUCCACCAAUCAGUGUAGAUGAAGGGGAAGAGACAGGUUAAAUCCACCAAUCAGUGUAGAUGAAGGGGAGGAGACAUGUAGAUGAAGGGGAGGAGACAUGUAGAUGAAGGGGAUGAGACGCAGGUUAAAUCCACCAAUCAGUGUAGAUGAAGGGGGAGGAGACGGGUUAAAUGCUUUGAGACACCUAAGACAUGGAUUGUCUAUGUGUCCCAUUCAGAGGGUGAAUGGACAAGACACAAAAGAUUUUAAGUGCCUUUGAAAAGGGUGUGGUAGUAGGUGCCAGGCGCACCAGUUUGUGUCAAGAACUGCAACGAUGCUGGGUUUUUCACGCUCAACAGUUUUCCGUGUGUUUCAAGAAUGGCCCGCCACCCAAAGGACAUCCAGCCAACUUGACAGAACUUUGAGAAGCACUGGAGUCGACAUGGACCGGCAUCCCUGUGGAACGCGUUCGACACCUUGUAGAGUCCAUGCCCUGUCGAAAUUAGGCUUUUCUGAGGGUAAAGGGGCGUGCAAUUCAAUAUUAGGAAGGUGUUCCUAAUGUUUUGUACACUCUUGUGUAUUUUCUAUUUGUAUAAUUUUCCUUCUUAGACAUAAGAAAUUAUUAUAAUUUAGUAAAUCUGUUCCCAAAUAUUCCCCCGCAUAAAUAGUCAUAUGUGAUCAUAUCCCCUCGUUAUCAAGGGUUUGAAAUUAUUCCGUUUUUCUCUAAUUCUAUAUCUGUUUGGGAUUCUUGCGGUCAGUUUGCAAAUGAUUUACAACUAUGUGUUCUGACCAUCCGCUCAAGGAAAAAAUCUGCCCACUGCUGAAUGUUAUUGGGCGACCCCUGCCUGGGUCCUGAAUGAUUUGUUGUGGCUGGCUGGCUGGCUCAGAGCCCUGGGUCUGAACCCCGCCCUGUGCAACUGGGUCCCGGUCUUCCUGACUGGCUUCCCCCUUUUUCCUCCAAACAUAACGAUGGCCAAGGUAGGCAACAGCACCUCCACUACACUGAUCCCUUAACACGGGGGUCCCACAAGGGUGUGUGCUCAGCCCCAUCCUGUACACCCAUGAUUGUGUGACCUCAAAACGCCUCCAACUCGAUCAUUAAGUUUGCAGACAACACAACAGUUGUAGGCCUGAUGACGAGACGGCCUACGGGAAGUGGGGGCCCUGGCAAAGUGGUGCCAGGAAAAUAACCUCCAACAAAAUGAUCGUGGACUUCAGGAGACGGCAGAGGGAGCGUGCCCCUAGCCACAUCGACGGGCCGCAGUGGAGAAGGUGAAAAGCUUUGAGUUCCUCAGUGUAUACAUCACCGACCAACUGAAAUGGUCAACCCACAGAGACAGUGUGGUGAAGAAGGCGCAACAGCAUGGUAUGGCAACUGGACCAACCGCAGGCCUCUCCAAAGGGUGGUGCGGUCUGCCCAAUGCAUCACCGGGGGCAAACUGCCUUCCCUCCAGGAUACCUACAGUACCCGGUGUCACAGGAAGGUCUAGAAUAUCAUUAAGGACCUCAGCCACCUGAGCCACGGCCUGUUCACCCCGCUACCAUCCAGAAUAUCAUUAAGGACCUGAGCCACCUGAGCCACGGCCUGUUCACCCCGCUACGAUCCAGAAGGCGAAGGCAGUACAGGUGAUGCAAAGCUGGGUCAGAGAGAAGCCUGUUUAUCAGUCUAUCUCAAGGUCAUCAGACUGUUAAACAUUUACCACUAGCCGGCCUCCACCCAGUUCCCUACCCUGAACUUUAGUCAUUGUUACUAGCCGCCUACCACUCGGUACUCUUUCCUGCGCCUUAGACUGCUGCCAUAUGUACAUAAACAUGGAAAACUGGUCACUUUAACAAUGUUUACAUACUGUUUUACCCUCUUCAUAUGUAUAUACUGUAUUCUAGUUCAUCCUGUAUAACUACUGCUGUCUACUUCAUAUGUAUAUACUGUAUUCUAGUUCAUCCUAUAUAACUACUGCUGUCUACUUCAUAUGUAUAUACUGUAUUCUAGUUCAUCCUAUAUAACUACUGCUGUCUACUUCAUAUGUAUAUACUGUAUUCUAGUUCAUCCUAUAUAACUACUGCUGUCCACUUCAUAUGUAUAUACUGUAUUCUAGUCAUGGUUCAUCCUAUAUAACUACUGCUGUCUACUUCAUAUGUAUAUACUGUAUUCUAGUUCAUCCUAUAUAACUACUGCUGUCCACUUCAUAUGUAUAUACUGUAUUCUAGUUCAUCCUAUAUAACUACUGCUGUCUACUACAUAUGUAUAUACUGUAUUCUAGUCAUGGUUCAUCCUAUAUAACUACUGCUGUCCACUUCAUAUGUAUAUACUGUAUUCUAGUUCAUCCUAUAUAACUACUGCUGUCUACUUCAUAUGUAUAUACUGUAUUCUAGUUCAUCCUAUAUAAAUACUGCUGUCUACUUCAUAUGUAUAUACUGUAUUCUAGUUCAUCCUAUAUAACUACUGCUGUCCACUUCAUAUGUAUAUACUGUAUUCUAGUUCAUCCUAUAUAACUACUGCUGUCUACUUCAUAUGUAUAUACUGUAUUCUAGUUCAUCCUAUAUAAAUACUGCUGUCUACUUCAUAUGUAUAUACUGUAUUCUAGUUCAUCCUAUAUAACUACUGCUGUCCUCUUCAUAUGUAUAUACUGUAUUCUAGUUCAUCCUAUAUAACUACUGUUGUCCACUUCAUAUGUAUAUACUGUAUUCUAGUUCAUCCUAUAUAACUACUGCUGUCUACUUCAUAUGUAUAUACUGUAUUCUAGUUCAUCCUAUAUAACUACUGCUGUCCACUUCAUAUGUAUAUACUGUAUUCUAGUUCAUCCUAUAUAACUACUGCUGUCUACUUCAUAUGUAUAUACUGUAUUCUAGUUCAUCCUAUAUAACUACUGCUGUCCACUUCAUAUGUAUAUACUGUAUUCUAGUCAUGGUUCAUCCUAUAUAACUACUGCUGUCUACUUCAUAUGUAUAUACUGUAUUCUAGUCAUGGUUCAUCCUAUAUAACUACUGCUGUCCACUUCAUAUGUAUAUACUGUAUUCUAGUCAUGGUUCAUCCUAUAUAACUACUGCUGUCUACUUCAUAUGUAUAUACUGUAUUCUAGUUCAUCCUAUAUAACUACUGCUGUCUACUUCAUAUGUAUAUACUGUAUUCUAGUAAUGGUUCAUCCUAUAUAACUACUGCUGUCCACUUCAUAUAUACAGUGGGGCAAAAAAGUAUUUAGUCAGCCACCAAUUGUGCAAAUUCUGACUUAAAAAGAUGAGAGGCCUGUAAUUUUAAUCAUAGGUACACUUCAACUAACUAACUAUUUUUUUAAAAAUCCAGAAAAUCACGUAGGAUUUUUUAUGAUUUUCUUUGCAAAUUAUGGUGGAAAAUAAGUAUUUGGUCAAUAACAAAAGUUUAUCUCAAUACUUUGUUAUAUACCCUUUGUUGGCAAUGACAGAGGUCAAACGUUUUCUGUAAGUCUUCACAAGGUUUUCACACACUGUUGGUGGUAUUUUGGCCCAUUCCUCCAUGCAGAUCUCCUCUAGAGCAGUGAUGUUUUUGGGUUGUUGCUGGGCAACACGGACUUUCAACUCCCUCCAAAGAUUUUCUAUGGGGUUGAGAUCUGGAGACUGGCUAGGCCACUCCAGGACCUUGAAAUGCUUCUUACGAAGCCACUCCUUCGUUGCCCGGGCGGUGUGUUUGGGAUCAUUGUCAUGCUGAAAGACCCAGCCACGUUUCAUCUUCAAUGCCCUUGCUGAUGGAAGGAGGUUUUCACUCAAAAUCUCACGAUACAUGGCCCCAUUCAUUCUUUCUUUUACACGGAUCAGUCGUCCUGGUCCCUUUGCAGAAAAACAGCCCCAAAGCAUGAUGUUUCCACCCCCAUGCUUCACAGUAGGUAUGGUGUUCUUUGGCUGCAACUCAGCAUUCUUUGUCCUCCAAACACGACGAGUUGAGUUUUUACCAAAAAGUUAUAUUUUGGUUUCAUCUGACCAUAUGACAUUCUCCCAAUCUUCUUCUGGAUCAUCCAAAUGCUCUCUAGCAAUCUUCAGACGGGCCUGGACAUGUACUGGCUUAAGCAGGGGGACACGUCUGGCACUGCAGGAUUUUGAGUCCCUGGCGGCGUAAUGUGUUACUGAUGGUAGGCUUUGUUACUUUGGUCCCAGCUCUCUGCAGGUCAUUCACUAGGUCCCCCCGUGUGGUUCUGGGAUUUUUGCUCACCGUUCUUGUGAUCAUUUUGACCCCACGGGGUGAGAUCUUGCGAGGAUCCCCAGAUCAAGGGAGAUUAUCAGUGGUCUUGUAUGUCUUCCAUUUCCUAAUAAUUGCUCCCACAGUUGAUUUCUUCAAACCAACUGCUUACCUAUUGCAGAUUCAGUCUUCCCAGGCUGGUGCAGGUCUACAAUUUUGUUUCUGGUGUCCUUUGACAGCUCUUGGGUCUUGGCCAUAGUGGAGUGUGACUGUUUGAGGUUGUGGACAGGUGUCUUUCAUACUGAUAACAAGUUCAAACAGGUGCCAUUAAUACAGGUAACGAGAGGAGGACAGAGAAGCCUCUUCAAGAAGAAGUUACAGGACUGUGAGAGCCAGAAAUCUUGCUUGUUUGUAGGUGACCAAAUACUUACUUUCCACCAUAAUUUGCAAAUAAAUUCGUUAAAAAUCCUACAAUGUGAUUUUCUGGAUUUUUUUUCUCGCAUUUUGUCUGUCAUAGUUGAAGUGUACAUAUGAUGAAAAUUGCAGGCCUCUCAUCUUUUUAAGUGGGAGAACUUGCACAAUUGGUGGCUGACUAAAUACUUUUUUGCCCCACUGUAAUUAGGGGACCCUGCAAUAAUGAAUGGUUUGUUGUGGCUGGUAAUAUAAUUAGGGGACCCUGCUAUAGGGUCCUGAAUGGUUUGUUGUGGCUGGUAAUAUAAUUAGGGGACCCUGCUAUAGGGUCCUGAAUGGUUUGUUGUGGCUGGUAAUAUAAUUAGGGGACCCUGCUAUAGGGUCCUGAAUGGUUUGUUGUGGCUGGUAAUAUAAUUAGGGGACCCUGCUAUAGGGUCCUGAAUGGUUUGUUGUCUCAUUGUGUAUUAUA